AGCUUUGCACAGUGGCAGUAUCGUAGCCAAUGAGGUUUAUCCGAGGCACGAUCAUUGCUAAUUGAAAAGUCCAGAUUAGCCUAGAAAUAAUAAAACAUUUGAACAGCCAAGAGGC
ensembl:snRNA U4 U4 spliceosomal RNA